UGCAAGUCGAACGAGACCUUCGGGUCUAGUGGCGCACGGGUGCGUAACGCGUGGGAAUCUGCCCUUGGGUUCGGAAUAACUCGCCGAAAGGCGUGCUAAUACCGGAUGAUGUCGUAAGACCAAAGAUUUAUCGCCCAGGGAUGAGCCCGCGUAAGAUUAGCUAGUUGGUGAGGUAAAGGCUCACCAAGGCGACGAUCUUUAGCUGGUCUGAGAGGAUGAUCAGCCACACUGGGACUGAGACACGGCCCAGACUCCUACGGGAGGCAGCAGUGGGGAAUAUUGGACAAUGGGCGAAAGCCUGAUCCAGCAAUGCCGCGUGAGUGAUGAAGGCCUUAGGGUUGUAAAGCUCUUUUACCCGGGAUGAUAAUGACAGUACCGGGAGAAUAAGCUCCGGCUAACUCCGUGCCAGCAGCCGCGGUAAUACGGAGGGAGCUAGCGUUGUUCGGAAUUACUGGGCGUAAAGCGCACGUAGGCGGCUUUGUAAGUCAGAGGUGAAAGCCUGGAGCUCAACUCCAGAACUGCCUUUGAGACUGCAUCGCUUGAAUCCAGGAGAGGUGAGUGGAAUUCCGAGUGUAGAGGUGAAAUUCGUAGAUAUUCGGAAGAACACCAGUGGCGAAGGCGGCUCACUGGACUGGUAUA
rnacentral:rRNA from 1 species